rnacentral:lncRNA from 1 species
UUUUGUUAAUAAUAGUGUGCUAAGAUUGGUUUCUCACUUUAUCUAGAAAGUAAAUUAUACUUUUAUAAUAAAAUAAAAUAAAAUAAAAUAAAAUAAAAAAAAAAAAAUUAUACUUUUACGAUUGAAAGAAUUACUUAGAUGAACCACAUUUUAGGUGUAUUGACGCAAACCAACCAAAACUUUUUUUUAUCCUUAAAUGUUUUUUAAUUACCAGCGUUCCCUUUUUACACGUUACCGGAAAAAACUAAUUACGGAAAAUGCCACUGCCACGUCAGACAAAAAGGCGCGUGCCACCAAUAACUCAGCCAUAACGUACGUUACGGCUGAGUUAUAUCACGUUAUGGCUGAGUUAUGGGACAACGGCUGAGUUUCGGGUCAACGGUUGACUUAGGAUCAUAACUC